CGGACGGGUGAGUAAUGUCUGGGAAACUGCCCGAUGGAGGGGGAUAACUACUGGAAACGGUAGCUAAUACCGCAUAACGUCGCAAGACCAAAGAGGGGGACCUUCGGGCCUCUUGCCAUCGGAUGUGCCCAGAUGGGAUUAGCUAGUAGGUAGGGUAACGGCUCACCUAGGCGACGAUCCCUAGCUGGUCUGAGAGGAUGACCAGCCACACUGGAACUGAGACACGGUCCAG
rnacentral:rRNA from 1 species